rnacentral:lncRNA from 1 species
CAGCCAUGGGACAACACACGCACUCUGCUGUCUCCCUCCCCCUCUCUCUCUCUCUGCUUUCUUUUCCCCACCUCCAGAUCGACCACCAUGGCUGCUCCAGAUCGACAACCAUGGCUGCUGGGCUCUCUAAGGAUUUCUACCCAAAACAAAUCUAUGUGGUUUCUAACUGCUAUGCACUAGUUUUCCCCUUUGAUUUCCCCUGAUUUUCCUCCUUCUCUGGUGUGUGCAGGUCGGCGGUGACGUGCUUCACCGAUGUGCCAGGCUCGGCAACCAUGGCGCCCAGGCAGAGCCAAGUAGCCCGUGGUGGUUGUGUAGGGAUUCAGGAUCCGACACUAUUUUCCCCCAACCUGAUAGUGAGUUCAUCUCCCUCACAUCUCUCUGUUCUCUGUUUUUUUUUUGGAAACCUAAUCUGUAGCUGAAAGAUGAGUUCUAGUAUAGUUCUUGUGUUAAAUCUUUAUCCCACGUUUAAGUAUUAAGUGAAUACUUGUGCUAAAACAAAUAAUGCUAGACCUUGUUAUAGCAACAGCUAGUCCAUCAUUCUUCUAGCAACUUAAGUAUUUUAUCUAGUAUUUCUGUGGUGUGCAAAACUAGUGCAACCAAAACAUUUAUCCCUUUUGUGCAUGUGCUCUGUGUUAUCUGUAGAGAGAAAAAAAAAAGAGAAAAGUUCUCUAGAAGAAUGUGCAGUGCAGGUGAAACCUCACCUUAAUCUUUGAGAUUUUAGCUUCAGGCUUAGGCUUGUGCUUCCCCACAAGCACUCCUUCUGUUUGCAGGAUCUUGGCUAACACUACUACUUCUUUUUUUACUUGGUUGAUCCUCACCUGGCCACUUGUCUUGACUUCCUUUUCUCUCAACCCCUGUUGCUCUCCAUGGGUGCUCAAGUCACCAUUUUGCUGAUGUGGAAGGCUGGUGAUUUUUCUCAGUCAAGGAUUGGGCUAGGUGUUCUUGGUAGGCUGCAACUUUGAGUGAAGACUGAAGAACUAGGUUGCUACUACGAUGGGGAAUGCUCCUCUCACUUUCGCUCCUGGUUCUUGUACUAGUACUCAUUUCCAACCUCUCGAAGAUAUUUACCCUCACAUCUCCCGGCUUGGUCAAGGUCUGUGCAGUGGUGUCCUCCAGCUACUGCCAUUUGAUUGGUUGAAUGCCUUCUAGAAGGGCAUGGCAGCUCACCAUUGUAUAAACUAGUACAAGAGUGGGUGAAAUAGUUGUCACAGUGGUGUGUACCAGAAAAUGUAAAGAAUGGUGUGAGUGUGUGUGUGGUAACCUGAGAGGCUAGUUGGCAUAACCAUGUAAAGAAAAUUUCAAGGAUUAAUAUAAGAUCUGUGCAUUUUGGUGUCAAAGUGUAACACCCAAAAACUAGAUUUCAAAUAAUAGAAAUUAAUUUGAUUUAUUUAAGUAUUUUGUGAACAUUUAAUUUAGUUUUUAAAUAAUUUUUGUGGAAAAUAAAAACUAUCCUAAGGUUAGGAACAUGUUGUGCAUUCAUGCUGGGGCAUAUUUUAUAUUAUGCUUGUUGCUUUUAGUUUGAAAUUAGUUGCAUUCAAACUUCCAUUUAGAAAAAGGUUUUGGAAAGAAAAGAAAAGAAUACAAAAGGGAAAGGCAGACCACCCCCAGCUCGGCCCAACUCCCCCCCCCCCGCCCCGCAGCCCAGCUCCCCUCUCCCUCUUCUCUAUUCCCCCUCGCUCGGCCCUCUCCUCUCUUUGCUUUCGGCCCGCAGAGCGGCCCAGCACCGCCAGCAGACGCGCGCCCUCCUCUUUCUCCCUCCUAGUCGCUGAAAGUCUGGCCCCGCAUGGCAGUGGCCGUCUUCUUCCCUUUCCUUUCUUCCCCAUCGCGCAGAGGCGAUUUCGCGCAGUCGGCUCCGAUUCUCUCGGGAUCUUCCCUUCCUUGUGCGCCCAACCAACCCAUAUAGAGGUCCCAAAACUGGCCAGAGUCCUUUUCCCAUCUAUGGGUGUGGCUACGCCCUAGCCCUAGCCGUUCCCCGCGACAAAUUCCACCGAAUCGCCGAAUUUCACCCGCCGCCAUCGCCAUUGCUGAACCUCGCCGCCGUGCUGUCGAUUCCGAGCUGCCGACGAGCUUCGUGCGUGGGUAACGAAGCUUCGGAGACCCUUUUCUUCUUUUUUCCCCGGCUCUGAUUGCUCGCUAACCCGGCUAUGGCGUGUAGAGCCUCAGCGAUCCGCCAAACCGCGUGGCUGCUCUCCUCCAAGCUCUCCCCGACCAAAAACAAAGCCUUGGGUGAGUUCGCCUGGAGCCCCACACCAUUCCCGUGCUCUCGGUUUUCCAAGCGAUGCACCAGAGCGUUGUCGCGGCCAACUCCGGUGAGCCCCAACAAUGGCGCCACCGCCUAGCUCCUGUUCCGGCGAACCGGCCGGCCAAAAGCCCCUGGGGUCAUUCUGGUCCGUCCGAUCGUGAUUCGAUGGCCCAAAAUAGAAGUUACCCUUUCGGAUUAAUAUUUGCUAAAGAGCCCCUCCCCUUUUUGAUAAUAAAAACCCGCCAUCCAUAGCGCCUUCCUGGUUUUUACGCUUUCCAAAUUUAGAAAACGUAUUCUCUGCCAGAUAAUUAAAAGUUUGCCACUGGACUUAAAUUGCUCAUAAAAUAUUCGUUUUAACUCCGUUUUCGUCCAUUCAAAUUUCGUUAGAUCCGUAUUCACGAGUUCUACAUGUUAGAAGUAUUAGUUUACUGUUUUGAAACUUUUUAAUUCUGUAGUAGCAUAUAAUUAAUUAUUUCUCUAUAGGAAAUCUUAGAAAAUUCAUAACUUCAACGUUUUAAUUUUGAUUUUCGUGAACUUUACGUCUGUGUGAUCGUAGCACUGCAUAGAUUCUUUUUACAAACUUUUAUCUCUGAUUUCUCAUUGUUGGUGUAAUGUUCUAAUUAUAGCUUGUUUGCUUUGUGUAUGAUUGUCUACAUUGGAUUGCGUGUUGUUGAUUGAUGUUUGGGAAUAGACGGUGAGCCAUACGUUGGUGAUCAAGACCAAGCCUUUGAAGACCAGCAGGCUUAGGAGACCUUUGAUCAAGGCAAGUAUAACUUGGGAUCAUCCUUGUUACCUACUCACUUAUAAACACACAUAUAUAUCAUAUGCAUGCUUUCACCUUGUCGACCUUAGCAAAAUCAUAGAUGAUUGUUACCUAGAUUCCUUGCUACCUACUUGAUAUGCAUUCGGUGUAGAUGUGCUAGUGCUUGAUAUAAUCCAUGAUCUUGUAAGAUAAUAGUUGUGCAAUGAACAUAAAAGGAUGACAAAUAACUAUAUGAGAUCUUGUCUGUACGUGAUCACCCGGGAUAACAGUGCAACCAUGAGGGCUAUAAUGGCUCUGGCUUUAGCUUAGUAUGAGGACCUUUUUCUAGCUUGUUAGCGGUUACCUUAAAUGGCGUAAGAAUGGCUAGACACGUUGGGUAUAGUGUGGCCUCUGUCCGUGUGUAUAGGCUGUAGGUUAUGUGCCAUGGAAGUGGGGCUCUAUAUCUGCCUGCCGAGUGAAUCUAAUGGCCCUAACUUGUUAGACGAAACCUUUGAAAGGCUUCAUAGUGAUCCCUGCCGACCUUCCUUGGUAGUGGGUGAGGAGGUCGACGGGCCUCGGGCGAAAGGGUAAAUCAUGACUCUUGGGUAAAGAUGUACAACCUCUGUAGAGUGUUAAAACUAGUAUACUAGCCGAGCACGCGGUCAGAAGCGGUCUUGGGGACAUCUACAUUAAGAUGAUGAACUUGUUACUGUUGACACCAUUUUUGGGCACGUGUCUAGGAUCGGUAGAAUAUAAAUCGGCAGGACAGGGCAAAGGUAGCUGGUCUGCAGGAAAGCUGCCGAUGAAGGUGGUUGCUGAUGAGGAGACGGCUGGAUGUGGCUAAGUCCAUGGGUGGUGAUGUAUCUAUGCCGAUGGCCAGCAUUAACUUCUGCUGUUGGUGGCGGUGGAGAAUCUGCCGAUGACGCGGGAGGAAGACUUGAAGAUUGCCGAUUGGUCUAUGGUGGCGUCCCAGGCUGUCGCGGGAAGAUAGUUUUAUGUUUUUUCUUUAGUCAUUUAAAAUCGUUUUGUAUACGGAUUCUAUUUAAUUUGGAAUUCGAGUUCUAGUCGUGUCUGGUUGUAGCUCUUUUGGGCAGGGUAUAAAUGUAGACCCUCGGGCCUUGUAAUCAAGACAUCGAUCAAUCAAUCAAACACAAGUUUCUACUCAUAUUACAGCAUCUACUUUUUCGACGACUUCGUCAUACCUUUUCCUUUUUAUUACGAGUUCUUAAGAAUUCGUCGACUUAAGCUCGGUGUGUUCUCAAGUUCCGCGUGAAUACCUCUUGGCCGUGGCAUCUGGGAGCAUCACUGUUGUCGGGACCAAAGUAUUCGAGUCAUCACCUUUGCCGAUAGUAAGGUCAAAUCGGCUGCCACGCCUUAACGUUUAAAUUGGGUAUUAGCCCUUUGUGUUUGCAGAUCAGCUUUUGCAUCAACACAUCUUUUGGCACGCCCGGUGGGACAGAUUCAAGAUCAAGAUCAACAUGUUGACUACUGAGUUUUACUUGGAGAACGUCAUCCCCGUGACAGAAGCUAGCCUCAAAGAUGAGCAGAAGCAAGCUAUUGCGAAGGCUAUGGAGGAUUACAAGCAACAAUGUCUCAAGGCCUUCAGCAUAAACAGGAGCGGCGAAGUGAUCCAGAAAGAAGCACUGCCGAUGCCUCAGUAGGUUACUUUUGAAGCCAAUCCUGGUAAACUCCAAGACAUGGUCGAUAGAGCAAUCAACCGUGCCUUGAUCAACCAAGCUGGUGUGCUGUCCAAUACGGUUUUCAAUGCCGUGGCUAGAACUUUCAAGGAAGGAUAGUUGCCGCCAAACUAUGUGGGCCCUUCUCAUCAUCAGCCAAUAUCACCAGUGGUCACAGCUCCAUCGGCUGCUACAGCCGCUGCGGGCGCAGAAACUGCUGUUCCUCCAAGUACGUUAGGAGUCACUAAUGCACAAUCUACGCCGAUGACAACCAAUCCAUCGACAUUAGAUGAGUCGAUCAAGCUUACUACAGAUCUGUUGGCAUCGGCAAUGUUAGGACAGGUUCCUCCUCCUAACUGGUGGGGUUUUGGUAUGCCCCCAGAGUUCACGUUGAAGACACCUGGUACAACCCAGGCGGCUGAUAUGAGAGGCAAGGUUCCUAUGGCAUCGGCACCUCCAAAUAUGCCGAUGAAUCAGAGUCCCCAGUAUACUACAACCACUACUACCAGGCCUUACACUGGGAAUUCUCAAGCUCCGACGUUCCAGAUGCCUAACGCAUCGGCAGAAUCAAUGCGGAUGCAACAGAGGUUUAUGACUCAGCCAGGGUAUGUCAACUCGAUGAUGAUACCCAAUUACCAGUCAUCGGCAGGGCCUAUGCCGAUGAACGCUAAUAGUGGAGGGCUUGGGCAGCAAGUCUUUUCGCAAAUGCACCAACAAAAUCAUCAGGUUAUCGGGUUUCAACAAGGCCAGAUCUAUCCUGGGUUCCAGAACCAAGGAUUGCCCAACCAGCCGAUGAAUCUUGGACAACAGAUCAGUGGAUAGCAGAUCAGUGGACAGCAGAUCGGCGGACAACAGUUUGGUGGUCAACAGAUGGGUGGCCAAUUGAUCAACCCAAUGUUCCAUGUAGAUCGUGCGCCGCACAGACACGUGGAAGCUUACCAGCAGGUGCCGGAUCCGCAACCGCCUCAUCGGCAAGAUGCCGAUGCCUAUUGGGCCGAUAAGAUUGCCGAAGUGAUGAGAGAUCAAUUUGGGAUAAAACCCAAAGUCAACACUUACUCUUAUCAGACAUCGUAUCCUCCCGCAUAUGAUUUGAUCCCGCUUCCAAAUCGGUACAAAGUAUCGGAUUUUACCAAGUUUUCUGGGCAGGAUGACACGUCAACCAUGGAGCAUGUCAACAGGUUCAUCAUCUAGUGUGGAGAAGCUGCUAACAGGGACGAGUUAAGGGUUCGCUUAUUCUCGUCAUCAUUAUCUGGAUCGGCUUUUACUUGGUUUAUAUCAUUACCUCCCAACUCAGUGGUUACUUGGGCCGAUCUAGAGAAGCAAUUCCACAAAUACUUCUUUUCUGGUGUCCAUGAGAAGAAGAUUACAGAUUUGGUCAAACUAAGGCAGCGCAAUGAUGAAUCGGUUGAAUGUUUUGUGUAGAGGAUACGGGAGGUGAAGAACAAAUGCUAUAGCCUGGUUCUAGAUGAUCGGCAGCUAGCCGAUUUGGCCUUCCAGGGUUUAUUGCCGCACAUAAGGGACAAGUAUGCAUCUCAGGAAUUUGAAAGCUUAAGUCAUUUGGUGCAGAGAAUUUCUGAUCAAGAUAUCAAGCCUUUCGAGCCCAAGAGAGCAUGGAAUAAAAAAGGUGUCAUUUGUGGAUGAAGCGGCAAGCUCGGACUCUGAUGAAGAACCAAUCAUCGGCUUGGCAGAAUAGGUGAAAAAUAAGAAGCUGAUGUCUUGCCCUUUUGGACAUAAAGAGCCAGAGAAGUUCACGUUUGACAUCACUAAGGCCGAUAGGAUAUUUGACUUUCUACUUCAAGACGGUCAAAUCAAAUUGUCACCCAAUCAUGUGAUCCCAUCGCCUGAGGAGUUGAAGAGGAUGAAAUAUUGUAAGUGGCACAACGCAACUUCUCACGACACUAAUGAGUGUAAAGUUUUUAGACAGCAGCUGCAAUCGGCUAUAGAAUCUGGGAGGAUCAAAUUUGACAGCUCCAAAACUCAGAAGCCGAUGAAGAUUGAUCAGCACCCUUUCCCAACAAACAUGCUGGAUGCUAAGGGAAAGGCCAAGGUCUUAACAUCGGAAUCGGCUAAAAGAAGUGCGUCGGUGGAUCCUCAGCAUCAGAUCACUACUGCCGAUGCCAAGGGAAAAGGCUUAAUCCAGGAAGGAGCCAACUCAGGAAGGCCUCCCCGAUCUGGUAUUGUGAUAACUCACAGAAGGCCUCGGGAGACUUGGCAGCAACGAGAGGACCGGUAUCGGCGCCGACAAGAAGAAUACCAUCGGGAAGAGGAAAGACGCCGACAGGAGUGGAAUCGGCACAGAGAUCAUUGGAAUUGUCUGUUCUUCAUCCAUUGCUGGGAAGAGAAUAUCAAGCUUCCUACUGUCAGUGAUUGCCCUGAGUGCAACGGCUAUGAUCGGUAUGACAGAUCCGAUCGGCGCCAUCACUAUGAUGAUCGGCGAUUUAAUGGGCCGAUUAGGGGAAUGGCGUCCGUUCAUGAUCGACUGGGGGGCAAGCUCAGUGUGCACGACAGGCUUGGCGAUCGUGUUCAAUAUUUUCCCAGGAACCAGGAAGAGCUUGAGGAGAUGGCUAAUCCACAGGUUCCCGAUGAAUUCAUUUUCUGCAGAGACGCCAAUACUUAUCGGAUGGAGUCAAGGGAGAGUCGUCGCUCAUCAGUGAGGCAGCAGAAACUACCUCCGUGGUGUCCAAAGGGGUUCACUAGGACACAGAAGAGAAGACUGCAGCGCGAGAGGCGAGAAGAAUUAAGCAAGGGCGAGAACUCUGGCCAAUCUGGGGAUCAGCAGUCAGAUCCUAAGGGGAAAGGACCAUCGGCAGAAGUCAACAUGGUAUUUAUGUUGCCGAUGGAGUUCCUAGCGUCGUAUAGCGAUGAUGAGUUGGAGUUUUCCGACCAAAUAGCUCAGCUGGCUCUGGACCCAAUGACCGCCAUCUUUGAAAAGCCUGCCGACAAUGAAAGGCAACAUCUUAAAUCUCUAUUUGUCAAAGGAAGAGUGGAUGGUCAGCCAAUGACCAAAAUUUUGAUUGAUGGUGGAGCUGCUAUCAAUAUCAUGCCAUAUGCAGUGUAUCGGAAGCUUGGGAAGGGAGAUCACGAUUUGACCAAGACCGAUAUGAUGCUCAAGGACUUUGAAGGCAACGUGUCUCUGGUUAAGGGAGCCAUAUGCGUUGAGUUGACCAUCGGCAGUAAAACCUUGCCGACAACCUUCUUCGUGAUCAGUGGAAAGGGUGCUUAUAACUUACUGUUGGGGUGAGAUUGGAUUCAUGCCAAUUGUUGCAUCCCGUCUACAAUGCACCAGUGCUUGGUUCAGUGGGUAGGUGACAAGAUUGAAAUUGUUUCGGGCGAUUCUUCCUAUGUUAUUGCAUCGGCAGAGGUAGACACCUAUGAAAGAACUAGGUGUAUUUCAGGAGAAGUCUAGGAAAGAGAUUUUCUCAAGGUUGCCGAUUACAAAAUUCCACCGAUCCAAGCAGUCGGUUCUGAUGAAGGUUUUUAAUGGAUAGGUUCGCCGAUGAUGGAAAAUUAGGCCAGGGGUUCACAUCGGCCGAUGAUUUGGUAGAAGUAGAUAUAGAUAGUGGUGAUAAACCUAGACCUACUUUUAUUAGUGCUAAGCUAGAUUCUGAGUGUAAGCAGUAGUUAACCGACUUGUUAAAAGAAUAUAAAGAUUGCUUUGCUUGGGAUUAUACUGAGAUGCCUGGUUUAGACCGAUCAAUUGUUGAACAUCGGUUGCCUAUCAAGUCUGGAUUUCGGCCACAUCAACAGCCGGCUCGCCGAUGUAAUCCUAAUAUUCUUCCUGAUAUUAAGGCCGAAAUAACCAAACUUAUUGAAGCUAAAUUUAUUCGGCAAUGUCGGUAUGCCGAAUGGAUUUCCAAUGUUGUUCCAGUCUACAAGAAGAAUGGGAAGCUUCGGGUUUGCAUUGAUUUCAGGAAUCUCAAUAAAGCUAUACCGAUGGAUGGCUAUCCAAUGCCGGUUGCCGAUCUACUUGUUGAUGCUUGUCGAGGGUAUCAACAAGGGGUACCCUCACCAAUGCGUAUAACGAGACCAUCCGUACACACGCGCGGCCAUCGACGGCCGCAGCCUCGAAGACGGAAAUAGCGUCGAGCGAAUCGGUCAGGGCUCGAGCGACAACUGCCGUCGAAUACGGAAGCGGGCUCGAGCGAACCGAGAGGCGUCGAGCGCAAGGACACUGUCCGCCGCCUGACGCGCGCACGAGAGCCAGGGCAUUUAAUGCACCUGACGCUUCCCCACCUAACACACGGGUCACGGGAGGCGUGAUAGGGAACAGGCUUCUGUCCCAUCGUUCUUUUUGCAGCCUUCCCACCGAACGACCCAGGGCGUGUCAGGACGCGGGAAACAAGGAUGGAACGUCUAAUCGGGACCCCCUCGAGACACCCAAGGUCAGCGCUCCAGAUAUCGACACCUCGUACGGCGUCCGACCCUCGACUUCACCAGGCUCCUUCCUAGAGACGAGUCGGGCGUCGACUGACCACGUCGUAACCGCUCCGCCGGAUUUGCCGCCGAGCCCUAUAAGCGUGCAUCCGCCGAACCAAUCCAAGACGGCGCGCAGAGCAGAAUGCAGGGGCACGCGCGAUCAUCACCUGGCUAUUAAGACGGGACGGCUCGAGGUCAUGCCGGUACGGAAACUUCGAGUAGGUCAGCGCUCCAUGCUGCUAUCGACUCCAAUUCCUACACCUAUACAUGUACCCUAGGUCCUUCCUUGGAACUAUAAAAGGAGGGACUCAGGAAUAGAACAGAGGGAUCACGACACAAGACCACGCUCAUACGUAGUAGAGCUCCACACUUCAUACCACGCUUGUAUUCGCCCCUGUACAAGCACUUAGGUGCAAGAUAAUACAAACUCUCUCCCCCCGCUGGACGUAGGGCCUUCUCUUGCCCGAACCAGGAUAAAUCUCUGUGUCUUCUUGCAUCACCAUCCGGGAAAGGGAGCACGCAUACAAAUUUACUCGUUGGUGUGACCCCCCGGGGGAAAACACCGACAGUUGGCGCGCCAGGUAGGGGUCCUGCGUGUUUUUCAUCGAUUUCCCACUCCUUUCCGGAUGGCUACUCUUGCCUCGCCAUUUCCGCGCUCCACGGUGAUUUGGUUUGGGAGUCUCGAGUUCAUGUCUACGGGCUCCGGCUACGACAUGAUCUUGCUCUCAGUCAAAGGACCAGGAGGAGCCCGCGUUACGCCAGCACGGUUGAAGGCCCCGAGACGCCCUCACCACCACGCCUCCCCGCCUAAGAAGAGGCGCGGACAGCACCACCGCGGCCCCUCUGCUUCAGCACGACCAACAACUCGUGCGAGGCAGGACGUAGGCCACAAGUCGGCAGCACCGUGUGACGGAGCAACAAGCGCGACGACUCAGCACCGCGCGACGAUGGGAGGGGACGCGUCUCGCGCGCUCUCCCCCACCGCAGCUAGGCUACUUCCACACGGGUUGUUCUCUCCAAGAGCGGCACUGCCGUUCGGAUUGGACAACGCCGCGGCGUCGCUCGCCAGGGCAAUAUGCCCAAACGCCCAGACGUACAUAGAAAGACCAAUGGUCCUCCCACGUAGCUCUGAAGCGCGGCGGCCGGCGUCCGAGCUGCCGGACCUUUCCCGAGUACAAGGCCUCCGUCGUCUAGGCCCCGGACGAUACUCGAUCACCUCCCUCAGGCAACGAUUGCUGGAGGAAGGACGUGGGUGUUUCUACGCCGCCGAACCGGACUCCGACUCCGAGACAGAUAGCUAUGACCCUACGAGGGAAUGCUAUCACAUCGACGGGGCGGUAGAAACUACUGACGAGACACGGGAUGCUGCUGCGGGUGGUCGAGCCCCCGUGGCGCGAGAAGACCCCAGGACGCCUGGGAACGACGGACAGGUCGACCCCCCUCCUCAGGAAGACAGAACCGCGCAGCUCGCGCAGCUGCGGGAGCUCAAGAUGAAGCUCGACGAAGACCGCGAGCGCCUCGUCCUGCUCGAGCAAAUCCUCGAGCAAGACCUGCCCUACCCGCCGGGCGGAAGUGUCCGCAGACGCGCUCGAGAGGUACAUCGACAGAUCGUCGGCGACGCAGAGCCAGAGCAACCUGUCAGCCGUUUCCCUCGAGCAGGCCAGAAUGUAGUGGCAGCGACGAUGCUGCUACGUAACAUGCCAGAGCAGUCGAAUUCCCAGGCCCGACGCAUUCGAGAUGAGGUACAGACAUUGCUCCAGGUGGCGGCGGUUCAACAAGCCAAAAGUUCGGCGUCUCGACGACGAGGAGCUGCCACAGAGAAGCGCGACGAACAGCCUCUAAACGAAGAGGAGGUGUCAGUCCAUCAACAACCUCCCCCUCGAGGUAGAAAGACCGCUCUCAUCCUCCCCGUCGACAAUCAACGUCGACACGACGCGCGGCACGACAUCAAAGAAAAUCGACGCCGCCGGCAUGGAGACGCGGAAGAGCGCGGUUAUAGCGCGCAUCGCGGUGGGAGAUACGACAGCGACGAGGACCGGGUGGCCCCCGAGCCACCAGGCCCACGGGUGUUCAGCAGGGCGAUCCGCAGCACGCCCCUGCCCAAUCCAUUUCGACCCCGACCAGCAUCGCGAAGUACAAUGGAGAGACCAAACCAGAGUUGUGGCUGGCCGACUUCAGGCUGGCCUGUCAGCUAGGUGGCGCUCGAGGUGAUGAUCGAGCCAUCAUCAGACAGCUACCCCUUUUCCUCUCCGACACCGCCCGUCGAUGGCUCGAGGAACUCCCUGCCAAUCAGAUCCACAACUGGGUUGAUCUGGUCAGAGUCUUCGAGGGUAACUUCAAAGGGACCUACAUACGGCCAGGGAACUCGUGGGACCUCAGCAAGUGCAAGCAGAAGUCGGGAGAAACUAUUCGGGAGUAUGCUCGACGCUUCUCGAAGCAGCGCACUGAGCUGCCGCACAUCCCUGACCACGACGUCAUCUUGGCGUUUGUCUCGGGCACCACCAGUCGAGACUUGGUGUGGGAAUUAGGUCGCAAUCGACCUCAGACCGUCGACGAGCUGAUGGACGUAGUAGCCAACUACGUGGCAGGGGAGGAGGCAGUCGGCGCCUUCUUCAGCUCAGAAGGAAGAAAAGGCAAGCAGCCCGUCGACGAAGAUGGGACCCCCAGUCGAGGCCUCAAGAAAACUAAAAAGAAGCAGAAAGUGCGGCAGUUCCACCGGGAAGAUUCCGAUGACGACCUUGUCGCCGCCAUGGAUCGAAAGAAGCCUCGAGGCCCUCCGGAUGGAGGCAUCUUUGACAAGAUGUUGGAGGAGCCGUGCCCUUACCAUAAGGGAGGCGCCAACCACAAGCUCAAGGACUGUCGUAUGCUGAGAAAGCAUUUCGACGGUCUGGGGUUCAAAAAAGAUACGCGUGAUGACUCCAAGAAAGAGAAGGCUGGCAGCAAGGAGGACAACAAAGAUGACGACGGCUUCCCCGCCGUCCACGACUGCUACAUGAUCUAUGGCGGGCCCUCGACUCAAUUAACCAUGAGGCAGCGCAAAAGGGAGCGUCGCGAAGUCUUUGCGGCAAGAAUGGCGGUGCCCCAGUACCUUAGCUGGUCAAGCACUCCUAUCACUUUCGACCGAGAGGACCACCCCGACAAGGUAGUCGCCCUAGGCGUCUACCCGCUCGUCGUCGACCCCAUCAUCGUCAACACCCGACUCUCGAAAGUGCUGAUGGAUGGUGGCAGCAGCCUCAACAUCAUCUACCUCGAGACCCUCGACCUCCUCGGCAUCGAUAGAGGACGCCUCCAGCCAAGCGCCGGCGGUUUCCAUGGCGUCGUGCCAGGGAAAAAGGCACUGCCAGUAGGUCGAAUUGACCUACCGGUCUGCUUCGGCACAGCGGCCAACUUCAGGAAGGAGACCCUCACCUUUGAGGUGGUUGGGUUCCGAGGCACGUACCACGCCAUCAUCGGGCGCCCGGGCAACGCCAAGUUCAUGGCUAUACCCAACUACACCUACUUGAAGCUGAAGAUGCCUGGUCCCAAAGGCGUCAUCACUGUCAGUUCCUCCUUCGAGCACGCAUACGAGUGCGACGUCGAGUGCGUCGAGUACGGGGAGGCGGUCGAGAGCUCCACCGAGCUCGUUGCAAAGCUCGAGGCCAUGGCCGCUGAGGCUCCAGAGCCUAAGCGUCAUGCGGGCAGCUUCGAGGCGGCGGAAGGAACCAAGAAGAUCCCGCUCGACCCCAACAACUCCGACGGCAAAGUGCUGACGAUCAGCGCCGACCUCGACCCCAAAUAGGAAGCCGUGCUCGUCGACUUUCUCCGUGCAAAUGCUGAUAUGUUUGCAUGGAGUCCCUCGGAUAUGCCAGGCAUACCGAGGGAAGUCGCCGAGCACUCCUUGGAGAUUCGAGCCGGUUCCAAGCCAGUGAAGCAGCGGUUGCGCCGAUUCGAUGAGGAGAAGCGCAAGAUCAUUGGCGAGGAAGUCCACAAGCUUUUGACGGCCGGAUUCGUCAAGGAGGUUCAUCAUCCUGACUGGUUAGCAAACCCUGUAUUAGUUAAGAAAAAGAAUGGGAAAAUGAGGAUGUGUGUCGAUUAUACUAGUCUGAAUAAAGCAUGUCCAAAAGUUCCCUUUCCAUUGCCACGCAUUGAUCAGAUUGUCGAUUCUACCGCGGGAUGUGAAACCCUUUCUUUCCUUGAUGCAUAUUCUGGUUACCACCAAAUAAAAAUGAAGGAGUCCGACCAGCUCACGACCUCUUUCAUCACGCCUUUUGGGAUGUAUUGCUACGUGACCAUGCCAUUUGGGCUUCGAAACGCGGGAGCCGCGUAUCAACGUUGCAUGCUCCACGUAUUUGGCGAACAUAUAGGGUCAACGGUCGAGGCCUACGUCGACAACAUUGUCGUCAAGUCAAAGCGACGAGGAGACCUGAUCCAGGACCUCGAGAUUGCCUUUAGCUGCCUACGCACCAGCCGGAUCAAGCUCAAUCCCGAGAAGUGCGUUUUCGGUGUGCCUCAAGGCAUGCUCCUAGGAUACAUCGUUUCGCAGCGCGGCAUCGAGGCCAACCCCGAGAAAGUCUCGGCCAUCACGAAAAUGGGGCCGAUCCGAGACAUCAAGGGUGUACAGAGAGUCACGGGGUGCCUGGCGGCUCUGAGCCGUUUCAUCUCGAGACUAGGAGAAAAGACAUUACCAUUAUAUCGACUCCUAAAGAAGGUCGAGCGCUUUUCUUGGACCCCCAAGGCCGAGGAAGCACUCGAAAGGCUGAAGAAGACGCUGACCUCGGCACCAGUCUUGGUUCCACCUCAACCUGCAGAGCCGCUGCUCCUCUACGUCGCGUCGACGACCCAGGUCGUCAGCGCGGCGGUGGUGGUCGAGAGGCAGGAGGAGGGACAUGCGUUACCGAUUCAGAGGCCAGUAUAUUUCGUCAGCGAGGUGCUUUCGGAGACCAAAGCACGUUAUCCCCAAAUCCAGAAGCUGAUUUAUGCCGUAAUCCUUGCCUGUCGCAAGCUGCAGCAUUACUUCCUUGGCCACCCCAUCACGGUGGUCUCGUCUUUUCCUUUAGGCGAAAUAAUCCAGAGCAAAGAAGCCACGGGAAGAAUAGCAAAAUGGUCGGUCGAGCUCAUGAGUGAGACUCUCACUUAUGCGCCUCGCAAGGCCAUCAAAUCGCAGGCCCUGGUAGACUUCAUCGCAGAAUGGACGGACACCCAGCUCCCCCCGACCCAGGUCCAGGCGGAACUAUGGACGAUGUAUUUCGAUGGGUCACUCAUGAAAACUGGAGCCGGAGCCGGCCUGCUGUUCAUCUCACCCUUGGGCGUCCACAUGAGGUAUGUAAUCAGGAUUCAUUUUGCCGCAUCUAACAAUGUCGCAGAAUAUGAGGCCCUCGUCAACGGUCUCAAGAUCGCUAUCGAGUUAGGAGUCCGACGCCUCGACGUCCGAGGUGACUCCCAACUCGUCAUCGACCAAGUAAUGAAAACCUCGAGCUGCCACGACCCAAAAAUGGAAGCGUACUGCAAGGAGGUCCGUCGACUCGAGGACAGGUUCCACGGUCUCGAGCUUGUCCACAUCGCUCGACGCUACAACGAGGCAGCCGACGAACUCGCCAAGAUCGCAUCGACCAGAGGCACGGUGCCGCCUGAUGCAUUCUCAAAAGAUCUUCACGAGCCAUCCGUCGACCUAGGCACGGGGGCUGGCUUCGACGCCACCACCGCCCAACCAACCAAUGCUGUCGAUACGCUCUUGAUGGUGGAAGAGAUGAUGGAGAUAGAACGACGACCAGGUCGACCAUUCGAUUGGCGCACACCGUUCCUCGACUGCCUUAUCCGUGGCGAGUUGCCAGAAGACAGGUCAGAAGCUCGUCGUAUCGCUCGACGGGCCAAAUCAUAUGUGAUCUAUGGCGAAGACAACGAGCUAUAUCGACGGAGCCCGACGGGGGUCUUACAACGUUGCGUCACCGUGGAAGAAGGCCGAAAACUCCUCGAUGACCUGCACUCGGGGGCUUGCGGUCACCACGCCGCUCCACGGACCCUUGUAGGGAACGCUUUUCGACAAGGCUUCUACUGGCCAACGGCCGUGGCGGACGCCAUCGAGCUCGUACGAUCAUGUCACGGGUGUCAGUUCUACGCCAAGCAGACGCAUCUGCCUGCCCACGCUCUUCAGAUGAUCCCCAUUACCUGGCCGUUUGCGGUGUGGGGGCUCGAUUUAGUAGGACCUCUACAAAAGGCGAAAGGAGGAUUCACCCAUUUGCUGGUGGCCAUUGACAAGUUCUCCAAAUGGAUCGAGGCUCGACCCAUCACCAACAUCCGCUCCGAGCAGGCCGUCCUUUUCUUCACCGACAUCAUCCAUCGGUUUGGGAUCCCCAAUGUCAUCAUCACCGACAACGGCGCCCAGUUCACCGGCAAAAAGUUCUUGGACUUCUGCGAUCGGUAUCACAUCCGUGUGAACUGGUCUGCAGUAGCCCAUCCUCGAACUAACGGCCAAGUCGAGCGUGCCAACGGCAUGAUUUUGCAAGGACUCAAGCCAAGGAUCUACAAUCGAUUGAAGAAAUUCGGCAAAAAAGGGGUCGAGGAGCUUUCCUCAGUCCUAUGGAGCCUUAGGACAACACCAAGCAGGGCCACAAAAUACACCCCGUUCUUCAUGAUCUACGGCUCUGAGGCUAUCCUCCCCACAGACCUCGAGUAUGGGUCACCUCGACUCAAGGCCUACAACGAGCAAUCGAACAAAGAGACUCAAGAAAACGCGGUCGACCAACUUGAGGAGGCUAGAGACAUGGCCCUCCUCAACUCUGCCAGAUAUCAGCAAAGGCUUCGACGCUACCACGACAAGCAUGUGCGCAAGAGGGACCUCAACGUGGGCGACCUAGUCCUACGACGCCGGCAAAGCAAUCAAGGACGCCACAAGCUGACUCCGCCUUGGGAAGGUCCGUACGUGGUGGCCGAGGUCCUGAAGCCGGGAACGUACAAGCUGGCGGACGAAAAGGGGGCAAUUCUCACCAACGCAUGGAACAUCGAACAGCUACGUCGAUUCUACCCCUAGAAGUUCUAAACUUAUGUUCCUGCUUACGUUUCGUACCAAGACUUUGUAAAUGAAUGAAUGAAUAAAUAAAGUCCUUACCUCGAAACAAUUCUUCUUUCUUUGUGCCGAGAAGAUUAAUAAGUCACGAUCUCGACGUUAAAAGGGGGCGCCAACUAUGACCCAUCAUAGUCAGCACCCCCUCGGGGGCUACCAGGGGGACGACCCCCCCCCCCCGAGUAUCGAAAAAACCAAGAAGUUUUCUUCUCUUACGUAGUAAACCUUGCACGGUUCAAGUAGCUAAGGCGCCUCGAGCCCCUCAAAGGCCGAGGGACAACGAGCUGGAGAACUCCUACGCCCCCGGGCUACGGAAACUCUACUCACUUCCCCACCAUUGAAGUGAUCGAGGUGGUCUUUUACGAAAAAUCGAGCAAGGGAUACAAACGUAGACGCAAAGAGAAACGAAAGCAUCAAGCGGAAAGACAAAAUAAGCAUUUAACAAUUACGAAAGUGAUACAGCAUCAGUUACCCACAGAAUUAACAAAGUAUCGUACAAGGGGCCUCAGGCGCCCUGAGCAGGCUCGCAGGCCUCAGUCCGCGGCACGAUCCUCACCGCCCUCGCCUCCGCCCGAGCUAGCCUCAGGAGGGAGCACCUCAGGCUCGAAAAGCUUGGCCAACCUUUCCCCAGGAGCCUCCGCAUCGUCGAUGAAGGCAUGGAGCCUCUCCUCGUUCUCCGCGUCGGUCUUGUAGAUGUCGGUGACGAAGCCAUGGGACACCAUCUCCAUGUCGUAGGAGAAGCCCGAGCAGACAACCGCCAUCGCCCGCUUCACCCCGAUGUGGAGGGCGUCCCGCACCCGAUCUCGCAGCGUCGCGCCUAUGUAGCACAACUGGUCGACCAGGGCGUCGCCUCGAGCGUCCUCCCUCGACUCAUCCAUAGGCUCGACCUCCCAAGAGGUCGAGAGAUCACUUAUCGCCGUCCGCACUCGACGGUUCAAAGCAACCUCCGCCUCGAGCUGAGCCUUGGUGUUGCGAGCCUCGGCUUGGGCGGCCAGGAGUUCGUCCUUGAGCCCUGUAAAAGCCAAUACAAAGAGACCUUAGGAAAAACUAAGCACACCUCGGAAAAAGAAAUCUGAUAGAGGAAACAUACCGCGUACGGUCUCCUCGAGGGCCGUGUUCUCGCCGACCAGCCUGGUGUUGGCCCCCUCGAUCUCUUUGUUGGAGCGUGCCAGCUCGGUGUUGGCAACGCGGAGAUCCUCGAUCGCCUUGCCAGCCUGAGCAAUGGCCCCACUCUUCUCCAGCAAUUGUCCCUUCAGACGCUCGACGUCGUUAGAGAGACUGCGGGAUCGAGCCCGCUCCGCCUCGAGAUCUUCGAGGGCCUUCUUCUUGGCUUCCUCCGCGGCGCCCCUGGCGACCUCGCCGUUCACAUGCUCCACCUUCAUCUUUCGGAAGGACUCUCGGAGAGAGUCCAGGUCGGAUUUAAGGAGGCCCUUCUCCUUGUCCAGAUCCGCGAUAACGCUCUUGUAGGACAGGGCCUCCUCCCGGGCUCUGGACGCGGCCUCCUCGACCUUAAGAGCCCGCUCCCGUAGCUGCAUCGUCUCCUCCUCCGCCUUCUUCGAGGCCUCUCGGGCCUCAGCCAAGGCAGCCUCCCUCGCCUUCUUCUCCUCCUCGAGUGCUAUGAGAUCUUUGUAAGCUUUAAGGAGCUUUUCCUGCGACUCGAGGAGUUGAUCCUUGAGGAGGGGGAGCUGCUCCCAACCGCCCCUCGUGGCGUGUAUGAAGCUGGACUUGAUGCGGGAGGUCUCUUUCAUAUCCUGCGAAUCAAGGGUCGGAUGGAUUAGAAUACAGAAACCAGAAAGCACCAUAAGGAUUGGAGUUCGAGAAACACUUACGAAAUAAGCCGGGCCGAGCCCGUUGUUGAUAACGUCCGAGAGGAGCCCCACCACAUGCUUCAUCCAAAGGCGGAGCUCCUCGACGUGUUCCCACUUCUCCGCCUCCUUCCGAUCGUCGAGGAAGAUGUCGGGCUCAGACGGGUCGUGGGAGGCCCGGAUACGGAUGCGGUCGGGGCACCAGUGCUCCAUCUCCCGGUCAGCCCGCGCCUUAACGCCGCGGAUGAGGCCCUCGACGGUCUCGAGGGAGCCCCCAUGGCGCAGGAACAGGUCGACGAGGCAUGGGAACCAUCCGUCGUCGUCCACCGUCUUCCAGGUUCCAUCCUUGGUCCCCGAUGCCCCAAUUUCAUCCUCCUCGGAAGGAAAGCGGUCCUCCCACGCCCGACGUUCCCGGAGGAACCCUGGGGCGAUCCCGUCCAUGCCGUAAAUUGUCCUCUUGAUGUCGGACUCGGGGUCGGGGGGCGUGCGCUUCAGGCAGGCGAGCGCCACCACUCCAUCCGCUCGCCCCGGCUCUGCCCGGAUCGCGGCAGGUGCCCCCGGGAGGAGCCACGCCGGGGUUGGGGAGCCGUACACUGGCAGGUCCUCCUCCUCGCCGAGCUCUUGCGGCUCCGGUGGUACUGGCUGGGCCGGACCUUGGGGCGGAGGCUCGAGCGGUCCCUCCUCUUGGCCCGCCUGCUGCUGCUGCAGUUGCUGCUGCGGUGGUUGCUGCUGCUGCUGCUGCGGUUGCUCCUGCGGUUGUUGCUGUUGCUGCUGCUGCUGUUGCUGUUGCUGCUGCUGUUGUUGUUGCUGCUGUUGCUGUGCCUCAUGCUCCUGUGGCUGCCGCGCCGCCUCGCGCUCCCGCUGUUCAUCCCCCUCCCUCUUCUUUUUCUGCUCCUCGAGGGUGCGGAGGCCGGUGGGCCAGGGAGUUGAUCCCUCGACAUGAGGGGUCGACGUUUCCUCCUCCAUGGGGCGGGCACCCCCAGACGCUCUGUCACCAUCAGACGUGUCGCUGAUGGUGAUGGGUUCCCCCUCGACCCCCAAUCUAGGGGGAUCGGGGGCUCCCUCUGAUGCUUGCGUCUGGGGCGCCUCAUCACCAGUCGGCAGCGACGGAGUAGGCGCGGGACGAGACGGAGCCCUCUCGACGCCGGCUGGAGGUUGGGGACUGGAGGAGCCUGCAAAACAAAGGGUAAAAAGGUCAGACGUUAUAAUAACCGACACAAGAACAUCGCAAGGCCCAGAAAUAAACUACGAACCUGGUUCCUUGGAGGCGGCGCCCGUUUUGAGCCUCUUUGCCAUGGAUGGCUGGGCCUGCUCGAGGGUCCGCUUUAGCCUGAGAAAAGAUCGGUAUAUGAGCAAACGCAGAGGAACAGGAAGACAAAAGCCACAGCAUCGAGAAGGCUUACCCCACGGGGAGAACAGCUCGCCUCCCUCCGCCCCGACCGGUGGGCCACGAGCCACCCCGCGUCAGGGCUCCAGGCCCCUCGAGGGCAGGCGCUGGCCUAGGUGCGUCAAUUCCCGCCUGACGGGCGCCGGGACUGGUGCUCCUGCGGCCGACCUCUCCUUUCUCGGAGGCCGCUGCGCGACCGCGGGUCAGUGGCCCCGUCGCUUGGGGCCUGGCAUGACCGCUCUCCCUGAGCGCCGGGGGAGGGUGCGGCACGACUUGGCUGACCUUGGGCGCGGGAGGGGUAUCGGCGCGAGGACGGUAGGAUCCGCUAGGGCCCCCCGUCGGAGCUUCCGCCCGAGGAGCGUCGACGUCGCCUUGAGAUGGACCCCCGAGGAUCCGGUCAAGACGAGACGCCAUCCCCUCGGAGUCCUCACUGUCCUCGUCAUCGUCGUCAUCUUUCUCGCUGGGGGACUCUUCCUCAGGCUCUCCCCUCUGCCUGGACUUGGACCGGCGCGCCUCUAAGGCUUGCCGGUCGAGGUUUUUCUUCUUCUCCCCCUUCUUCUUAGAGUCCUUAACGGACUUCGACUUCUCGGCGGACCGGCGCCACGCGUCGCGGUCGACUUCGUCCUCCCUCACCGGGGGCCUCGAGGAUCGAACGUCGAUCCGCCCCUGCCACCGUAAAAAGUAGACUUAGAAAAAGGGGGUGGAAAAGGAACCCAGAGUCAAGGCUACCCACGAGGAAGAAAACAUACCAGAUCGACCGAGCCUUCAUCAGGCCUCAUGGGGAAGCCGUUGACGUGCUGCGACUUGAAGUCGCCGGCGAUGGCCGCCCUGACCCGGGCGGCGACUUCAUCGUCCGCCAGAGCCACGUUGGACAUCCGGCAAGCUUUGAGAUCCCGGGACGAGACGCCCGGCCCCAUUUCGUCCAUCCUCAACGGCCGAGACAUCAGGGGAAGGACCCUCCGACGAUGGACGGCAGAGAGGACGAGAGCGGCGGACAAGCCCUCCAGGCGCAGCUUCUUCAUGGCGUCGAGGAGGGGGUCGAGCCGCGACUGGUGCUCUUGGACGACGCCAUACGUCCAGUUGUCUGGGCGCUCCGAGAUCAGACGGCCCGUGUAGGCGGGGAAGAGACCGUCGUCGUUUCUCAGAUAGAACCACUGGGAGUCCCACCCAGCAUGGUUCGACGACAGCCCCACCGGGAUGUACUCGCGCGGCCUUUCCGUCUUCUUCGUCUUCAACACCAGGUUGAGGCAUCCGGCCCGCACGGGUUUCCUCACGCCGGUGGUUCCGGUGGGGGCGUUGAAAAGUUCGCCCCUAUAGAGGUGGAGCCAUAGAUCCCAAUGGGGCAUCAUCCCCAGAUAGCCCUCACACACCGCGAUGAAGACCGCCGCGACGGUGAUGGCGUUCGGGGAAAAAUGCUGGAGCUCCACUCCAUAGUGGAAGCAGAGGGCCCGCAUAAAGCGACUCGGGGGAGCACCCAAGCCAUGGCGGUGGAACUUGGCGAAUGACACCACAUAGCCCUCGGGUGGCUGGGGCUCCCUAUGACUCGCCGGCGGCGCGAUCCACUCCGGCGAAGACUGCGAAGUGCGGCGACGCAAGAGCCCUUCGUUCUCGAGCUCUAGCAGACGGUGGUCCGUCAUCAACGACGGACGCCAGUCGUCGGCGGCAACAAGCCUCACAGGCAUCUUGGUUGGAAGGAUGGUGGAUUCACUACCGCUCGAGGGGGUGCACGCGCGCGUGGAGGAAGCAAGAGAGCAAAGGCAGCGAGAAGACGAAGGCGAGAGGACGGAAGGGGAAAGAAAGAAUGGAGCAACACCACAGCGUAUUUAUAGAUAGCGGCCAACUGACGGAUAUAUCCGAUAAAUGAGGUAACUCCCCCCAUAAAUACGCCGUCUAACGGUCCUUUCUCUCCUCGCAGGUAGGACGCUCCGAAUUCCCCGCCGAUACAGUGUCGCAACGUCACUUACCUCAAAAGGUGCGCCCAACGGGCAGAAAAGACGAACCGGCACGGCAGCUUCCUUACUUCGUAAGCCAAGGUAUGCGCCCACGAUAGUCUCGAGAGGUCGAUGGCUGGCCCGUCGAAAGGGUUCGACAGCCGAUCUCGAGCACCAAGAGUCAGGGAUCCCCAGCGAGUGGUCGAAAAUCGAGGCCCGCCUCGAGGACUCGCUGGCGAUGUCCAAGGUAGGGUCGAGACAGUCGAGAGGAAUCCCCCCGAAGGGAGGCAUCGAGCCGCUGGACUCUAUCGAAUGAGACCAGUAUCCCCGACCACGUCGACCCUGCUUUAUGAGGACGCCUCCGGGCUACAGCUGACCCCCUCGAAAGGGGCACAGGUUCUCACUUGGACUACCCGCUAGGAACUCAAUCUGGGGUGAAAGACGCUCGCUCUAUCGAGAGUACGUCGAAACCUCCACGCAAGGCAAAGCCGAACAGAACCUUCCACCACGGGUGUUGACAGCGUUUCUGCAAAUUUGGCAAAAUAACCCUCGAAGGAGUUAAAUACUCCCUCGAGGGCUCGGGGGCUACCCCCGCGGGGUCGCUCGCGCGCCCCCGUGGAAGCUCGACCGUAAAAACGAAAGUCUCCACUCGAGCGCCAGCGCUCGAAUGAAGACUCGGGGGCUACUGUCGAGGGUAUCAACAAGGGGUACCCUCACCAAUGCGUAUAACGAGACCAUCUGUACACACGCGCGGCCAUCGACGGCCGCAGCCUCGAAGACGGAAAUAGCGUCGAGCGAAUCGGUCAGGGCUCGAGCGACAACUGCCGUCGAAUACGGAAGCGGGCUCGAGCGAACCGAGAGGCGUCGAGCGCAAGGACACUGUCCGCCGCCUGACGCGCGCACGAGAGCCAGGGCAUUUAAUGCACCUGACGCUUCCCCACCUAACACACGGGUCACGGGAGGCGUGAUAGGGAACAGGCUUCUGUCCCAUCGUUCUUUUUGCAGCCUUCCCACCGAACGACCCAGGGCGUGUCAGGACGCGGGAAACAAGGAUGGAACGUCUAAUCGGGACCCCCUCGAGACACCCAAGGUCAGCGCUCCAGAUAUCGACACCUCGUACGGCGUCCGACCCUCGACUUCACCAGGCUCCUUCCUGGAGACGAGUCGGGCGUCGACUGACCACGCCGUAACCGCUCCGCCGGAUUUGCCGCCAAGCCCUAUAAGCGUGCAUCCGCCGAACCAAUCCAAGACGGCGCGCAGAGCAGAAUGCAGGGGCACGCGCGAUCAUCACCUGGCUAUUAAGACGGGACGGCUCGAGGUCAUGCCGGUACGGAAACCUCGAGUAGGUCAGCGCUCCAUGCUGCUAUCGACUCCAAUUCCUACACCUAUACAUGUACCCUAGGUCCUUCCUUGGAACUAUAAAAGGAGGGACUCAGGAAUAGAAUAGAGGGAUCACGACACAAGACCACGCUCAUACGUAGUAGAGCUCCACACUUCAUACCACGCUUGUAUUCGCCCCUGUACAAGCACUUAGGUGCAAGAUAAUACAAACUCUCUCCCCCCGCUGGACGUAGGGCCUUCUCUUGCCCGAACCAGGAUAAAUCUCUGUGUCUUCUUGCAUCACCAUCCGGGAAAGGGAGCACGCAUACAAAUUUACUCGUUGGUGUGACCCCCCGGGGGAAAACACCGACAAUGCUGCAGCUGAGCAUCGAAUCAUCAGCUUUAUGGAUGGCAAUGCAGGAUACAAUCAAAUAUUCAUGGCUGAAGAAGAUAUUCCGAAGACUGCGUUCAGGUGUCCUGGUCAUGUUGGGUUGUUUGAAUGGAUAGUCAUGACCUUUGGCUUGAAGAACGCUGGUGCUACUUAUCAAAGGGCCAUGAAUUUUAUAUUUCAUGAGUUCAUCGGCAAGCUGGUGGAGAUUUAUAUUGAUGAUGUGGUGGUUAAGUCUGGAGACUUCACAAGGCAUCUUGCCGAUCUACGAAAGGUGUUAGAAUGCACGAGGAAGCAUGGUUUGAAGAUGAAUCCCAAUAAGUGUGCAUUUGGUGUAUCGGCAGGGCAGUUCCUCGGUUUCAUGGUACAUCAAAAGGGGAUUGAAAUUAGUUGAAGAUCUAUUGAUGCUAUCAACAAAAUAGUGUCCCCUACCAACAAGACCGAGCUCCAGUCCUUGAUUGGCAAGGUAAAUUUUAUUAGAAGAUUUAUAUCUAAUUUGUCUGGUAAAAUUCGUGCUUUCAGUCCUCUUCCUAAGUUAAAGGCCGAUCAAGAAUUUGUUUGGGGGAAAGAACAACAGUUGGCUCUGGAUGAAAUCAAGAGUUAUUUAGUGAAUCUUCCAGUUCUGAUUCCACCUCAGCAAGGGAAGCCCUUCAGAUUGUAUUUGUCUACCGAUGGGAUGGUCAUUGGUUCAGCUUUAAUUCAAGAAUUUGAAGGGAAGGAGCGUGUGAUUUAUUACUUAAGCAGGAGGUUGAUUGAUGCUGAGACCAGGUAUUCGGCUAUUGAGAAAUUAUGCUUGUGCUUGUAUUUCUCUUGUAUCAAGUCAAGACACUAUUUGCUAUCGGCCGAAUGCACUGUUAUUUGCAAAGAUGAUGUGGUCCGAUACAUGCUAUCUAUGCCGAUCAUGAGUGGCAGGAUCGGUAAGUGGAUUUUGGCGCUGUCAGAAUUCGAUCUACAUUACGAAUCGGCUAAGGCAGUUAAGGGACAGAUUAUGGCCGAUUUCGUAACUCAACAUUGCGGUGCAGUGGAGGCGUUGGAAAUUGUACCCUGGACGCUCUUCUUUGAUGGAUGCACGUGUGACUGGGGGGCAGGAAUCGGCAUAGUAUUAAUUUCCCCUCGGGGAAGGAAGUAUGAGUUUUCCUUGCCGAUUGUUGCCACGUCGACGAAUAAUCAGGCUGAGUAUCAAGCUUUAAUAAGUGGGUUGGAGUUACUAAGAGAAGUUCAUGCCGAUGCCGUUGAGGUCUUCGGGGAUUCUAUGCUAGUUAUAAAUCAAUUGGCUGGAAGCUAUGAAUGCCGAAGUGAAGUCCUCAUAACUUAUUACGAAAGGAGUAUGCAACUGUUAAAGGAAUUCAAGAAUUUCUGAUUAGAGCAUGUUCCUUGAUUGCAUAAUGAAGAGGCCAAUCGGUUGGCUCAGCAUGCCUCGGGAUAUCAGCCUAUGAUUAAUGCAAUAUCGGCAAUCGGUGCCGAUGAUUGGAGAAAAGAAAUUAUUGAUUAUUUGAAGGAUCCAUCUAGGAAAGUUGAGAGACGUGUUCGGUUUCAAGCCACCAAGUAUGUGCUCCUCGAGGCUGAAUUGUAUUAUCGGACUAUUGAUGGGAUUCUUCUCCGAUGCUUAGGUGAGGAUGAAGCCAAGAGUUUGAUGGGAGAAAUCCAUGAAGGGGUAUGUGGAGCACAUCAGUCGGCUUUUAAGAUGAAGUGGAUGAUUAGGAGGAAUGGAUAUUAUUGGCUGACCAUACUUGAGGAUUGCUUUAAGUAUUUCAAAGGGUGUCAAAAGUUUGGCAAUAUUCAAAGGGCGCCUGCAUCAGCUGUGAAUCCUAUUAUAAAGCCUUGGCCGUUCCGAGGGUGGGCUAUUGAUUUGAUCGGCCAGAUUUAUCCACCAUCCAGCAAGGGGCAUAAGUUCAUCUUGGUUGCCACCGAUUAUUUCACUAAGUGGGUUGGAGCUAUUCCUUUGAAGAAAGUUACGUCAGCCAAUAUGAUUGAUUUUGUGAAGGAGCACAUCAUUUACCGAUUUGGAAUUCCUCAGACAAUUACUACCGAUCAGGGCACCAUGUUCACAUCAGGGGAGUUUGAUGAAUUUGCAAUCGGUAUGGGAAUUAAAGUAUUAAAUUCUUCUCCUUACUAUGCUCAAGCUAAUGGGCAGGCCGAGGCAUCUAACAAAGGGAUUAUCAAGAUUAUUAAACGAAAGAUUGAAGAAAAUCCUAGGACGUGGCAUACAUUGUUAAGCGAAGAUCUAUGGUCAUAUCGGAUGGCUUGUCAUGGGUCGACCAAGAUUUCACCUUACCAGUUGGUGUAUGGGCCUGAUGCAGUGUUGCCUUGGGAAGUUAAGGCUGGAUCUAGGCGACUAUCUUUUCAAGAUCAAUUGGUUGCCGAUGAUUAUGCUACUUUGAUGACGGACGAGUUAGAUGAUCUAGCAGGACAUCUGCUAAAGGCCUUGAUGAGUAUAGAAGAGAAUAAGAAGAGGGUUGCCAGAUGGUAUGAUAGGAAAGUAAAGGCUAAGGAGUUUGCUGAUGGAGACUUGGUAUUGAUAUUGAUCUUACCGAUCGGGACUAAAAGUUCAAAAUUUGGGAAGUGGUCUCCCAAUUGGGAGGGUCCCUAUCGGAUAAGUCGAUCGGCUCUUGGUAACGCCUAUAUUCUAGAAACUCUCGAAGGAGUUGAAUUUCCCAGAGCAUUAAAUGACAAAUAUCUAAAAAAGUACUACCCCAGCAUAUGGGUCGAUGCAUGAAAAUUAGGUGCCGAUAACAUUCCUAUCGGCUGGAUCAAAAUGUGUCUGGGGGUAAAGCUCAAUGUUUAAAAAGGCGCCGAUAACAGUCCUAUCGGCUAGACCAAAUAUUAGGAAGAGCUAGAAAGCAGAGGAGCGAGGAUGUGUUGUCGAUGAAGAGCUCAUGUGUUCAACAGCGCCUGGAUCGCCGAUAUGGCGCGUAGAGGGAUUUGGUUGGCUUCCUCUAUCUCCUUUAUGUCAUCAUCAGCAGAGCCUUCCACUGGUUUCAAUCUCUUCUUCAACUGCAGCGCUUUACGACCAUGGACAUUUCGCUCUUGCACAAGGAGCUUGAUUGCCUCAGGCAGCUGGUUUUCCUCUUGUCAAGCCUGGGACAAGGCUUCUUCCACUUGCUUGAGCUCUGCCAACAGAGCUUCUCUUUUUGCUCACAGAUCAGAGAUCUUGUGCUUUAGUUCAUCUCCUGAGGACUUCAAGGUGCUGAUGUUCUUGUGCUUCUCAUCGGUAAGGAGUUUUUCUUUCAUCAUCUCCUUAGAAAGCUGAGUCUAAGCAGCUCUAUUGGCAAGGCGCUGGGCAUCCCUCUGGUACUGCAGUUGACGACUCUCUAGGUGUGCUGCUUGGAAGAGAACUUCUUCGGCAUCAGCGGGGAUUUGGCCUCUCAGGGUCUUGAAUAAAGCCUUGGCCGGAUCAGAGUCAUCAACUAGUUGGGCUGUGUCUUGAUGAAAGAGAGCUGAUAGUUCUUCCAGCCUUGCCCUGACCUCUGCCGAUGUGAUCCUGACUGCCUGAGAAGAGCUUUCUUCUUCGCCUUCAUCUUCAGAGAUGUCGAUGGCAAAGGAGAACAAACUACCGGGAGAGUCCUGCUCCUAAAAAGGAAGGAAAAUGAGUUAUUCUACAGUCAAGUAUUGAUAAAUGAUACAGAUAGGAAUUGGAUAACUUACUUGUUUCAGGGCGAUUUCUUGCCUCUGACUGGAAGAUGCCGAUGGAGCCACAGGUUGAUUGGCCAGAGUUGCCGAUGGAACUAUGUCGACUGAAAAAAUAACAAGAAAUAAUUGUAAGACAGAGGAAAUGAGUUCAUCGGCAAUGACUUCGUAAAAGUAUGUUACCUUGGGGAGGUGCAGCGCUUAUCUGGAUCGAAGAGACUACCGACGAUAUGAUUGACCCUGCUGGAUCGGUAGUCUGCUCGCCCACAUCAGCCGAUGUGUCUUCCGGCUGAGGUACCUCAGGUUGAGGCUCUUCUAGUUGGGGUUCUUCCGCUUGUGGUGCUCCUUGCGGCUGAGAAGGGGAUGGUGCUUGUUGUAUCUAUGUUUCUGGAGACGAGGGAGAGGAUUCUACCUGAAUUGGAGAUACUGGGGGAGGAGGAGGUGUUGCUACUCUUUGGCGCUUUGCUUGUGCCCUGGUACUCUUGGCACCCUUUCUCUUCGGUUGACUAGACUGGGGGGCAUUGGCACUUUUGCCUUUGAUCUUUGCCGAUGCACCGGUGUUCUAGCACAGAAAGGGAAAUUUGUGAGUGCAAAUACAACAGAUGUGAGAGUGAGAUCAGUGUGAAAGAGUUUGAGAAUAUACCUUGAACGCUUGUGCCAAAGUAGAGGCAGCUACUGAUGGAGAUAUCUGAGUUCUCCUGGUGGUGACAUUAUUGAGGCGUACGCCUCGAUGCAUGACGGCAGCCAGAGUGGGAGCGUUGUUGCCGAUUGAGGAGAUCGGGCCUGAUGGAAAGAGGUCAAUCGGCUUGCCACUCCUGCUGACCGAUGGGGGAUCGUUGUCAACCUGCAGUGCAAUACAAAAAGUAAGUUACCGAUGGAAAUAAAAUUGAACAAAUCGAGGCAUCGGUUUGGAGAUACUUACAGUGUUAUCAGGGACCUUGUAUUGGGGAUCGAUCAUGCCACGGUAUGUAAGGGCCGAUCUGCAGAACAAGUGCUCCUUCCAUUCUUCCCACCAUUGCUUGUACGCCUGAGUGAUAAAGGCGGCCGGGACCCACUCUGAUAAAUCUGCAUCUGUAUCGGCACUUGAUGGCAGUUGGGCCACUCGGAUCCACUCGAGGAGGUUAGUGAUGGCUUCCCUGGGUUUCAUCACAUCGGCGUAACAGAGUGCAAUCGGCAGCUGGCCGAAGGCUAAUUGACGGGCUAGUGCCGAUGGAUUAUAGAACUCGUAGGUUUGAUUGGAGGUCUUCCCACUGCCAAAGAAGUUUACUGGUAUGGCUCUGGGAGUUAUCAAUGCCAUCAGCACUUCAUGAUCCUUGUUGAGAGCAUCGUUGAAUGGAUGGAAGACCAAGGGAAACAUGGUGUCUGGGUCAUCAUAAGGAAACCAUGCUCGCUGCUCUCUAGUUAGACCUUCGUACAGGGUUUGGAAGAAUCGGCUGAUUUGGUCUGCAUUGCCCCCUGUGCUAGGGAGAACUAUGACAGCUUCGCCAAAGUUUAGGGGAGGGCGUGUUGCCGAUUCUUCUUCGUCCAACUCAUGGUCCUCGGUUAUAUCUCUGGGGAAGCACUGUGCGAAAAGAUCAAACUCGAGGCGCCUGUGCAUGUGGAGACUGAGCCACAUAUUAAUGAACCACCAGGGACCCCCCAAGUUGCCGAUGGGCUGACCAAGCAGGAGUUUCCUAGUUGCCUGGUGGAGGAGGUGGUAGGCUGUGCCAAGCAGGUAUCGGCCAAGGGGAAAUCGACCACCAUCGGCUAAUCUUUCUGCUGCUGCUAGAUAGACAGAAGUCGGUCCUGCCGAUCGACCACAAAAUACAAACUUGUCCAACCACAUGUUCAAGAAGCUGGUCUGUUCCUUUGGAUUAACAGGACCUGUUCGUCUAUAUUUUUGGAUGUACCCUGACCAACCGCCGAUGGAGCGAGUUUCUACCUUAGCACUGGGUUUGGUAUCAAAGAAGUGGGUGCUAUCGGCGGAAGAUACAUCUAGGCCGGUGAGCAUAACUACAUCGGCAAGUGUAGGGGAAGCAGGUCCAUGACCAAAGACAAAAGCAUUGAGGGUGUCUGACCAAAAAUAAGAUGCAGCUAUCAGCAAUGACUCAUUCCUAUGCAUAUCGGCAAUGGAUAGCCUGAUGCAUUGGUCCAGUUUUCUCUCACCCCAUUGGACUUCAUUUGAGUUGCUAACUCUCAGGAACCAAUCUUUCCAUCCCACGGUAGGACUGGGCCAGGAACGGAAGGUGUCUUUCCACAGAUCCAAAGAAAAGUUCUCGGCUCUAAAAGGUAUCCUGUUGGUUUCUUCGUUAAUAAAGUCGGUGGGAUCUGGAUUCCCUAACGGACCGAGACAUUGAAGAUGUGGCUGAUCGGUGGGGAUGACGAUGUUAUUGGACACAUUCUAAUGGUUUUGAAGGUAAAAGAAGAAGAAAGAAAGAAAAAAGGAAAAUGUUCAGUAAAAUAAAUUGCGGAUAAACGGAGAUGCGAGGAAAAGCACAAAAGGCGGAAUGGAGAACUUACCUCAGGGACAGUGAAGUUGAUGGCCAUCUCUUCGCGAAGAGGAUGGAUGAAGGAUUCGGAGUUGAUGAAGAAGGGGCUUCGGUGGAGAUCUUGGAGCUCUCGAAUAGCGCCGCCACCGGGAAAAGUGGAGUUGGGGCUGUAGAAUGAUGUGAUGGGGAGGAGUACCCGAGAAGGAACUAUUUAUCGGACAAAAUGGGCAAGGGCAAAUCUAACUUAUCACUUCGCCGUAUCCGUAAAAUCCGAGGAUACUCAGGAAGAUAUGGUAACUGUUCGCACGGUAAUCAAGGGAUUGCGCAUGUGAUUUGACAGGAAGCGGUCGUGAUCUGGAGAUAUUUUACUGUACGAGAUUUCCUGAUCAGUCCAUCGGCAGCGCCUUGUAACGGUCAUACUGCCGAUGAGCGGGUAAAGUGGAGAUAUCCGUUUGAGAGGAUAAGAUACUUUACUGAAUAGGACGUCCUAAGCGGUCCAUCGGCAGGUCUUUGUAACGAUAAUAUUGCCGAUGACCGAAUAAAGUGGAAAUAUCCGUUUAGAAGGUUGAGGAUUUCGAGGGAUAUACGGAGGAGUCAAACCAGGGUUGUUCAGAUUGAGGCUGUCGGUUACCAAAUCAGGAGUAUUAAUUGUGGAAAGGCAUCAUUACUGUAGAGAAUUUUGGAGCAUUAAUGAUUUUAUACUCCGAAACUGGGGGGGCAUGUGUUGACACCGUUUUUGGGCACGUGUCUAGGAUCGGUAGAAUAUAAAUCGGCAGGACAGGGCAAAGGUAGCUAGUCUGCAGGAAAGCUACCGAUGAAGGUGGUUGCCGAUGAGGACACGGCUGGAGGUGGCUAAGUCCAUGGGUGGUGAUGUAUCUAUGCCGAUGGCCAGCAUUAACUUCUGCUGUUGGUGGCGGUGGAGAAUCUGCCGAUGACGCGGGAGGAAGACUUGAAGAUUGCCGAUUGGUCUAUGGUGGCGUCCCAAGCUGUCGCGGGACGAUAGUGUUAUGUUUUUUCCUUAGUCAUUUAAAAUCGUUUUGUAUACGGAUUCUAUUUAAUUUGGAAUUCGAGUUCUAGUCGUGUCUGGUGGUAGCUCUUUUGGGCAGGGUAUAAAUGUAGAUCCUAGGGCCUUGUAAUCGAGACAUCGAUCAAUCAAUCAAACACAAGUUUCUACUCAUAUUACAGCAUCUACUUUUUCGACGACUUCGUCAUACCUUUUCCUUUUUAUUACGAGUUCUUAAGAAUUCGUCGACUUAAGCUCGGCGUGUUCUCAAGUUCCGCGUGAAUACCUCUUGGCCGUGGCAUCCGGGCGCAUCGCUGUUGUCGGGACCAAAGUAUUCGAGUUAUCACCUUUGCCGAUAGUAAGGUCAAAUCGGCUGGCACGCCUUAACGUUUAAAUCGGGUAUUAGCCCUUUGUGUUUGCAGAUCAGCUUUUGCAUGAAUAGUUACGUUAUUAUGAUCAUUUAAUUAUUGUUUAUGCUGCUAGUUAAUUAUGCUUAUAUUUGAUCAUGUGAUUGUUGGAUUAAUUAUGCUACCUUGACAUUUGCUAUCUAGUCAUAAACCUGCUAUCCACUAUUAAAAGUUAAAUGCCGUCAAACCAGUGUCAGCUUUUUGAGCCUCAUGAACCCCUGGUUAUACUUUUUGAGUAUGAUAUGUGCUCACUCUUGUAAUUUCCCAACACCCCAAGUUAUGCAAAUGAUGAUGCUUGGAAUGAGGACUACCGUUAUGAGUACUAGGUUUUGAGUCAACUAGUCAACAGUGUCCCUGUGUGGUGCUUCCGUCGAGAGUGUUGUUUAUCUCAUAUUAUUUUUGUGCAAGACUAUGUGAUUUAUUAUGUUCCGCUAUGUAAUAAACACUGCAAUGGUACAUUUGAGAUUUGUCUACUUAUGUGUGCGACUAUUUCUGGGGCACAGGCACAUAUGAGUCUUUUAUGCAUCCUAUUUUGUUCUUAAAAUAUGGGUGUGACACAAAGUUUAUCAAUUAUCUUGCUGAUGUAAUUAAGAGAGCUGAUGUAAUUAAGGUUAGUUAUCUACUAAAAAUGUGGGUCGUUACAUCCUUCCCAGCAUAGAAAAUAUUUUGUCUUCAAAAUCGAACUUACUUAAAGACGUCGGGGUAAGCUUCGCGUAGAUCUUCCUCCUUUUCCCAAGUUGCUUCUCGAAUGGAGUGGUUCUUCCAUUGCACCUUGUAGAAUCUGAUUUUUCUCCUCCUCAGUUGUCGAUCUUCAACUUUUAGUAUUUUUAGUGGACGCUCUUCAUAGCUCAAGUCUGGCUGCAGCUUGAUAUUCAGAUCUUGAUGUUUUUCUGAUGGCACUCUUAGACAUUUCUUUAAUUGUGAGACAUGGAAUACGUCAUGUACUCUGGAAAGCUGAGUGGGCAAUUCAAGCUGAUAGGCUGCUGUACCUUUCUGCUCUAGUACCUUGAAUGGCCCAACAUACCUAGGACUUAGCUUCCCUUUUGUUCCAAAUUGACGAACUCCUCUCAUUGGUGAUACCUUCAAAUACAAAAAAUCUCCAGGUGCAAAUUCUAAUUCUCUACGCCUUUUAUCAGUAUAGCUCUUUCAUAUACUCUGUGCAAUUCGAAGUCGCUCUUUGAUCACUUGUAUCUUCUCAUCAUUCUCCCUCACUAAACUUGGGCCUAGCAAUGGUUUCUCACCCACUUCAUACCAACAAAUAGGUGAUCGACACUUACGUCCAUACAAAGCUUCAUAUGCUGCCAUUUCUAUGCUCGAUUGAUAGUUGUUGUUGUAUGCAAACUCUACUAAGUGUAGGUGUUUGUCCCAUGAUUCUCCAAAAUUCAUUGCACAACACCUCAACAUAUCCUCAAGUAUUUGGUUCACCCUCUCUGUUUGGCCAUCUGUCGGCGGAUGAUAGGCUGUGCUAAAGUUGAGUUUUGUCCCUAAAGCAUGGUGGAGGCUGUUGACGGUCCUUAAGUAUCAAAUUUAAUUAACAAAUAUACAAAGAAAAGUAUCCAUAUGCAACUGACAUCCAAACUUAGGGUUUUAUCUGACAGAAUUUCAUGAGUUUUGGUGUUUGUCUAUUUCUGUAGGGGGUUAUCAGGAAUUAUAGAAGAAAGGCCCACACGUUAGGUUUACAUAGAGAUAUUAACGUGCCGCGCAAUUAUCUUACAUCUAGAAGAGUCCAGAAGCCACGGGAACGAACGUGAGACCGGACGGGCUCGGGGGCAGGGCGCCCGCCCUCCCCCUAGGGCGCUCGCCCUGGCCUUUCCACCAAUCACAGCCAAUCUCGCGGAUCAUGCUCCACCUACCUAAAGGAUCAAGGAUAAUCGUUCAAUCAAUGUCAGUUUGAUCCGAAGGCCUACACUCACGUGGAAGGACUAUAUAACCAGACCCCCUGGCCCCUAGAGGAGAGCACCUCUCAACCCCAAUUCAUUAUUCAUCAGGGAGAAGAAGUCUCUGAUCAAGCCCUAGAGCCACCACAUCAAUUAGAUCUCUAGAUUAGCAUAGCUACAUAGGAUUAGAACUAGAAGGAGUCAAUCUUCGAUUGGUUUCCGGAUCUGUCAAGAGGAUUCUUGGUAAUUCUCUAUUGUUCUUCAAUUGUUCAUCUUUGUUCUUCAAUAUUAUGAAUAUGACUUUGUUCUACUUCAAUAUAUUGAUUAUGACUUUGCUCUACUUGUUUAUAUUCGCAAUUAUAUUGUUCUUAGUUUAUCAUAGUUAUAUACUUGGCUUAGUUAGAUUGGAAUUAUAUACAUGUUUAGGAUCGUAUAGCGUUUAUCCAUUGGAUCCAUGGGUAAAUGAUAGAUAUUGUGUAGGCGUGGUACUUAUACCGUAUUUAUCUGCGAUUGUACCCUAUAUGCCAGAUCGCGGGAUAGUUCGUGGUAGUGACAGCUCCAUUGACUCUUAUAUAGUCCCCCUCUCGUGUACUGGGCUGGCAAAGCAACAUUAUUACAGGAGAGUGAUUGCGAUGUUACUCAUAUUCCUUGAUAAUACCACUAUGCAUGGGCGUAGUCCUAUCUCACAAUGAUAUGCUAGACUGUAUAGUUAAGAAUGACUUAGGAAAUAUUCUUGUAGUUCAUCCUAAUUCCAUGCUAAUGACUUGCUAGAAUAUCUAAUUGAGGUGCUUAUCAUAUUUAUAUGUGGCUAAGUUAUGCUGAUCAGAUUAAUUAUCUUUGUCACUAUUCAUUACUUUAUAUAUCCUUUAUGUGACACUUAUCCCUAUAUGAAAGAGAUAGAUAAUUGUUCUCAAUUAUACAUGCAAUGAUAGAUACUCAAUCUUAUUUCUAUUCUAUAAUCAACAUUCAUGAUUACUAUCCCUCUCCAGUAGUAAAAAUAUAAAUAACGAUACCUGGAAUACUUCCUAGUUAAAAUGCUACAUCGGUAUUAAUCUGUGCGCUUGCAGAUCCCAUUUGUUAUUUAUUUAGAAGAGCAAUGGCAUAUUUCAAUACCGCGUCUCUUAUAUCAUGCUGGGGAUGACAACUUGGCUUAAGUGGCAUGAGGGAUAAGUUUGGCAUUUUUUGGCACCGUUAUCAGAAUUAGAAACUAAGUCUACUUUUGGUAGUGACGUUAAGAAUGCCCAACAAGCAUUUUUGGCGCCGUUGCCGGGGAAGGUUGAUUACUAAUCAGGAAUGAAUAUAGAAUUUUGAGUCAUCAUUCACAUCACUAAUAUGAUUGAGCUUAUCAAUUAUCUCAUAUAGUUUUACCCCGAUAUUUUUUUUAUUUUAUCUUAUGCAGGGUAAUGUAUGAAUAGAAGACAUCUUCCAGGAAAUUUUGUUGACAAUCCCGA